rnacentral:rRNA from 1 species
UACGUAGGGGGCUAGCGUUGUCCGGAAUCAUUGGGCGUAAAGCGCGCGUAGGCGGCCAGAUAAGUCCGGUGUGAAAGUCACAGGCUCAACCUGUGAAUGCCGCUGGAAACUGUCUGGCUUGAGUCCGGAAGGGGCGAGUGGAAUUCCUGGUGUAGCGGUGAAAUGCGUAGAUAUCAGGAGGAACACCGGUGGCGAAGGCGGCAUCCUGGACCGGCAUUGACGCUGAGGCGCGAAAGCUAGGGGAGCAAACGGG